CCAUAACAGAAGUGAUAAAAAAAACGAAGCCUCUAAUGGGCAGGCCACGCUUGGAGGAGCCAAAAUGAGCUAAUUAGAGCAGUAUUAGAACAAAACCCGCGAGGAAAAAGACCGCUGGGAAGACCCAAAACAAGAUGGGAAGACGUAGUUAAAAAGGAUGUACAAUCACUAGGAGGAGGAACGAAUUGGAAAGAAAGAGCAAU